AUGAAAAGGUCUGAUGUUUUUUGCAGUUGUGGCCGUCUCGCUAAUCUUGCUCUCGAGUUGGUUGAAACUAAGGGACAUAUACACUUCCCUUUGGUUUACCGACUCAUCACACUUGCUUUGACUUUGCCAGUGGCGACGACAUCUGUUGAAAGAGUUUUCUCAGCCAUGAAUAUCAUUAAGACAGAUUUGAGAAAUAAGAUAUCUGAUGAUUGGUUGAAUGAUCUGAUGAUAUGCUAUAUGUAG
rnacentral:rRNA from 1 species